rnacentral:sRNA from 1 species
GCUGGUCGNGUGCCUACGAGUGCAAGUCGAGCGAACUUGCGGGAGCUUGCUCCUGUAAGUUUUCCCCGGACGGGUGAGUAACACGUGGGCAACCUGCCUAUAAGACUGGGAUAACUUCGGGAAACCGGAGCUAAUACCGGAUGAUUCUUUUCUACGCAUGUAGAAAAGCUAAAAGACGGUUUACGCUGUCACUUAUAGAUGGGCCCGCGGCGCAUUAGCUAGUUGGUGAGGUAACGGCUCACCAAGGCCACGAUGCGUAGCCGACCUGAGAGGGUGAUCGGCCACACUGGGACUGAGACACGGCCCAGACUCCUACGGGAGGCAGCAGUGGG